GGAUGACACUUUUCGGAGCGUAAACUCCUUUUCUUAGGGAAGAAUUCUGACGGUACCUAAGGAAUAAGCACCGGCUAACUCCGUGCCAGCAGCCGCGGUAAUACGGAGGGUGCAAACGUUACUCGGAAUCACUGGGCGUAAAGGGCGCGUAGGCGGAUUAUCAAGUCUCUUGUGAAAUCUAAUGGCUUAACCAUUAAACUGCUUGGGAAACUGAUAAUCUAGAGUGGGGGAGAGGCAGAUGGAAUUGGUGGUGUAGGGGUAAAAUCCGUAGAUAUCACCAAGAAUACCCAUUGCGAAGGCGAUCUGCUGGAACUUAACUGACGCUAAGGCGCGAAAGCGUGGGGAGCAAACAGGAUUAGAUACCCUGGUAGUCCACGCCCUAAACGAUGUACACUAGUUGUUGGGGUGCUAGUCAUCUCAGUAAUGCAGUUAACGCAUUAAGUGUACCGCCUGGGGAGUACGGUCGCAAGAUUAAAACUCAAAGGAAUAGACGGGGACCCGCACAAGCGGUGGAGCAUGUGGUUUAAUUCGAAGAUACGCGAAGAACCUUACCUAGGCUUGAUAUCCAACAAAUUCUGUAGAGAUACGGAAGUGCUAGCUUGCUAGAAUGUUGAGACAGGUGCUGCACGGCUGUCGUCAGCUCGUGUCGUGAGAUGUUGGGUUAAGUCCCGCAACGAGCGCAACCCACGUAUUUAGUUGCUAACAGUUAGGCUGAGCACUCUAAAUAGACUGCCUUCGUAAGGAGGAGGAAGGUGUGGACGACGUCAAGUCAUCAUGGCCCUUAUGCCUAGGGCGACACACGUGCUACAAUG
rnacentral:rRNA from 1 species